UACGUAGGGUGCAAGCGUUUGUCCGGAAUUAUUGGGCGUAAAGAGCUCGUAGGCGGUCUGUCGCGUCUGCUGUGAAAACUCAGGGCUUAACCCUGAGCUUGCAGUGGGUACGGGCAGACUAGAGUGCGGUAGGGGGAGACUGGAAUUCCUGGUGUAGCGGUGAAAUGCGUAGAUAUCAAGUGGAACACCGUGGCGAAGGCGAGUCUCUGGACAUUUCCUG
rnacentral:rRNA from 1 species